rnacentral:lncRNA from 1 species
AUGGAGAAAGGACAGAUAGCCUACAAAGGUCACUGCUUGGUCUUACCCUUUCCGUGCCAAGGCCACAUUAAUCCUAUGCUCCAAUUUGCCAAGCUUUUAGCUCACAAAGGAGUUAAAGUCACACUGGUCACUACCCGCUAUGUCCACAAGACAAUGUACGGGUCAGCAUCGAGCUGCAUAGAGCUGGAGCUGGAGACCAUCUCCGAUAGCUACGACGAAGCCGGGAGAGGAGAAACAAGCAUAGAUGCCUAUUUGGAGAGCUUUCGGAAAGAAGGGUCAAAAACUUUGGCUGAGCUCCUUGAGAAGCUUUCAAGCUCAGGGUCCCCAGUUGAUUGUGUUAUUUAUGAUGCUUUCAUGACUUGGCCUCUGGAUAUUGCCAGGAAGUUUGGAAUAGCUGGGGCUGUUUUCUUCACACAAUCUUGUGCUGUUGAAAACAUCUACUACCAUAUCCACGAAGGACUUCUGAAACUUCCUCUUGCUGAUGAUCAGUCUCGGAUUUUGCUUCCCGGGUUGCCACCACUUGAACCUCUGGACUUGCCAUCGUUUGUAUACGAUUUUGGGUCUUACCCGGGUUUUUACCAAGCGUCUUUGGGUCAGUUCUCUAAUGUUGACAAAGCUGAUUGGAUCCUCUUCAACACAUUUUAUGACUUGGAAGAACAAGUGAGUACGUAAGGAAGCUUUUUUUUUUUUUUUCCCAUUCUUUUUUCUCAACUGUCAUAUAUGAUUAAUUCUUGGGCUUCUUAGAUCUAGGUCAAAAACGAUUAGUUAUCAUUGGGUUUAGUCCACGUGUUUUUUUAUUUUAGAUGUAAAUAAGGAAAACAUAUUGAAAAUAUAAAUUUAAUGCAUUAUUUCCUAAAUUGCAUUUCAGAAUUUAAAUUUUGAAUUUUAUUCUUGAUAAAUCGUGUUACCUGUAAGUUAGGAACAUAAAUUACAAGACUACCUAUAAAUUAGGAACAUAAAUUAGAAUACUACCUAUAAGUCAGAUACAAAAAUAGACAAAUCAAAUUUUAUGUUACCUAUAAAAAUUAGAACAUAAAUUAAACAUUGUCGAAAAUAUGAAAAACAAAAAAAAAACAAAAAAAAAAAACAUAUAUACCUAUGCAAUAGGACACCGUAAACAAAUGCAUUUUUUCUUUGUCAAAACAUUUAGAGUUCGAAGGAGCAUGAUUGGAGGUAAAAACGUGAUUUUUGGGAUAUGUUUGCUAUAUUUUCCUUUUCUAUUCAAUGCCAAAUGUUGUAAAUAGCUAAUUAUUUUGACAUUAAUGACUAUUAUCCGAUUCAAGUUACAAUGGGCAACAUUGAAACAAAAAUAAAUAAAAAGAUUACAUCAAAAAACAUUUAAAAAUGAAUGUAAUCAUAUGUGGUACAAAAGUCAAAUGACUUAGAUCAAAGUCACCAAAUCUGAAGAUUAAACCCAACUCCUUAAUGAAAAUUUGGAUCUAUAUCAACUUUUCUAUUAAUUUUUAUAAGCUUCAAUGAAAACUAAUUGGAAUUUAUUCUUUGCUUAGGUGGUGGAUUGGCUGGCUAAGUUUUGGCCACUGAGGACUGUUGGACCAACUAUACCAUCCAAGUACUUAGAUGAGCGACUUGAAGAUGACAAAGAAUAUGGUGUCAACCUCUUUAAAUCAGACAAUGAUGCCUGCAUCAAAUGGCUAAACGAAAGGCCAAAAGGGUCUGUUGCUUAUGUAUCAUUCGGCAGUUUCGCGGAACUAGGCGUUGAGCAAAUGGAGGAUCUUGCUCGGGGUUUGAGGAGGAGCAAAAGUAACUUCUUGUGGGUGGUCAGAGCAUCAGAAGCAGCUAAGGUGCCAAAAGGAUUAGUCGAGGAGACAUUGGAGAAAGGUUUGGUGGUCUCAUGGUGCCCCCAAAUGGAGGUUUUGGCUCAUGAGGCUGUUGGAUGCUUUGUUACACAUUGUGGUUGGAACUCAACUUUGGAGGCUUUGAGUUUGGGGGUUCCAAUGUUGGCAAUGCCACAAUGGACUGACCAAACAACCAAUGCCAAGUUCAUUAUGGAUGUGUGGAAAAUAGGGCUCACAGCUCCAUGUGAUAAGAAAGGGCUUGUGAGACCAGAAGUAGUGGAACAGUGCAUAAGUGAAAUAAUGGAGGGAGAGAGAGGGAAAGAAAUGAAAAUCAACGCCCUCAAGUGGAAGGAGUUGGCUAAAAAGGCAGUGGAUGAAGGUGGAAGUUCUGACAAAAACAUUGAUGAGUUCAUUUCAAAGUUGGUUCAGUGA